GUGCUCGCUUCAGUAGCACAUACACUAAAAAUGGAUCGAUACAGAGAAGAUUAGCACGGCCCCUGUGCAAGGAUGACGCGCAAAUUCAUGCAGAGUUCCAGAUUUUU